UGGCUCAGUCGGUGGAGUGUGAGACUCUUGAUCUCAGGGUUGUGAGUUCAAGCCCCAC
rfam:Ailuropoda melanoleuca scaffold593_17, whole genome shotgun sequence.